rnacentral:rRNA from 1 species
CUAAGAAUAUUCCGCAAUGGACGGAAGUCUGACGGAGCGACGCCGCGUGGAUGAAGAAGGCCGAAAGGUUGUAAAGUUCUUUUGCUGGGGAAGAAUAACCGCAGGAGGGAAUGCCUGUGGGAUGACAAGAACCGGCGAAUAAGCCCCGGCCAACUACGUGCCAGCAGCCGCGGUAACACGUAGGGGGCGAGCGUUGUUCGGAAUUACUGGGCGUAAAGGGCAUGUAGGCGGCUUGGAAAGCCUGGCGUGAAAGUCUGCAGCUUAACUGCAGGGGUGCGCUGGGAACUGCUGAGCUUGAGUGACGGAGAGGGAGCUGGAAUUCCUGGUGUAGGGGUGAAAUCUGUAGAUAUCAGGAAGAACACCGAUGGCGAAGGCAAGCUCCUGGCCGAUGACUGACGCUGAGGUGCGAAAGUGUGGGGAUCAAAACAGGAUUAGAUACCCUGGUAGUCCACACAGUCAACGAUGUGCACUAGGUGCUGGGGCGGUAGCUUCGGUGCCGGAGCGAACGUGGUAAGUGCACCGCCUGGGGAGUAUGCUCGCAAGGGUGAAACUUAAAG